CAAUAGCGUAUAUUAAAGUUGUUGCAGUUAAAAAGCUCGUAGUUGGAUUUCGGGGCAGCCUGGCUGGUCCGCCGCAAGGCGAGUACUGGUCAGCCGCCCUUCCUCUCGAAAGCCCCGACUGCUCUUCGUUGCAGUGGUCGGGUAGUUCGGGACGUUUACUUUGAAAAAAUUAGAGUGUUCAAGGCAGGCCUACGCCUGAAUACAUUAGCAUGGAAUAAUGGAAGAGGACCUCGGUCCUAUUUUGUUGGUUUCCAGGGCCGAAGUAAUGAUUAAGAGGGACAGUUGGGGGCAUUCGUAUUUCAUUGUCAGAGGUGAAAUUCUUGGAUUUAUGAAAGACGAACUACUGCGAAAGCAUUUGCCAAGGAUGUUUUCAUUAA
rnacentral:rRNA from 1 species